rnacentral:tRNA from 2 species
UAUCCCGUAGCCAAGCUGGUAAGGCAUGAGUUUUUGGCACUCACAUGCGCUGGUUCGAGCCCAGCCGGGAUAU